CCUGGGUCUGCAAACAUGGCUUUGUGUCUUCUCAGACUAAAAGAACAUAGCGGAGGUAAAACAGAGACCAGCAACUAAACUGGUUAAGAGCUUGGAGCAGCUACCUUGAGGUCUCUUCCAACCUAGAAAUUCUGUGAUUCUGUGUAAUUCUGUGAUAAGGAGAGGAAAGGGGUGCUCAGUUUAGAGCAGAGGGUGCAGGGGAUCCUGAGGGCUGAGGCUCAAGGAUCCUGAGGGCAGUGAAAAAGAAUACAGGACUACUGUUGGCUAAAUCCCACAGUACUGGAACCAGGGGACACUUAAGGAAAUUAGCAGGUGGGUUUGGAGUGGAUAAAAGUAAUCUCCUUAUUCAGGGAGCCUCUGUGAUGGGAGGACUGGCAGGUGUGUGGUAUCAGCAGAUAGACACAUUUGGGAAGAUAAAAGCUUGGAAUAACAGUCAACACCUGUCAGAUUAUCAGGCUGAUUCUUUCCAGGUGGGAGCAAUAGAGCAAAAAUGAUGAUUAAUGGGCUCACAACAAUGCUGUACAUAAAAUAUUCAGUCAAAACCCAAGAGGAGUAUGUCUUAAAAUGGUUCUGAGAAGCAUGUGAAUUGCUAAAAGAAACUUGGGUAUGUAUUUAAGUCAAUUAGAAGUCCAAGUCCUGUUUUCAAAGGCAGUAGCGUGUUUAAGAGUUUAAGCCUCUUUAAAAAUCAAUGGUAGUUUCUAGUAGAGG
rnacentral:lncRNA from 1 species